rnacentral:rRNA from 1 species
AUUGAACGCUGGCGGCAGGCCUAACACAUGCAAGUCGAGCGGAGCGGCGGACGGGUGAGUAAUGCCUAGGAAUCUGCCUGUUAGUUGCGGAUAACGUCCGGAAACGGGCGCUAAUACCGCAUACUAUCAGAUGAGCCUAGGUCGGAUUAGCUAGUUGGUGGGGUAAAGGCCUACCAAGGCGACGAUCCGCACCUGGUCUGAGAGGAUGAUCAGUCACACUGGGACUGAGACACGGUCCAGAAUCCUACGGGAGGCAGCAGUGGGGAAUAUUGGACAAUGGGCGAAAGCCUGAUCCAGCCAUGCCGCGUGAGUGAAGAAGGUGUUCGGAUUGUAAAGCACUUUAAGUUGGGAGGCGUUACCAACAGAGUAAGCAACGGCUAACUUCGUGCCAGCAGCCGCGGUAAUAC